rnacentral:rRNA from 1 species
AUGCAACGACGCUGGAUCCCGCCAGAUGAGGGACUAGUGAAGAUAAAUGUGGACGCCGGAGUUUCAGUGCAACACAGUGCAGGAACCGCAGCAGCCAUCUGUCGUGAUUGUGACGGUUCCUAUCUUGGGUCGUCAGUGUUAGUUAUCCAGGGCAUAUCAGAUCCAGCUAGUUUGGAAGCUUUUGCUUGUCGAGAAGCUCCUUCACUGGCGCAAGACUUGGGUUUACAACAUCUCCAAAUUGCAUCAGAUUGUAAACAUGUUGUGAACCAUAUUCGCCAGGGCGUGGGAGGAAGCUAUGGAAGUGUUAUUAUGGAGAUCCUAGAAACUGUGAGAAAUUUUACUUCUUAUAAUUUUGUUUUCGAACCUCGAGCUUCAAAUACUGAAGCUCAUAGAUUAGCUAGGUCAGGUACUUCUCUACCUUACGGGCGCCAUAUUUGGUUGGGCACGUCAAGUGACCCAAUCGCAUUUCUUGUAAACAUUGGUAUUGAUCAAUAA